GUUACAUUUCAAUUGGAUUAACAAAUUCGCUUCAACAAAAUUUUAUCGUCCGCUGCCUUAUGGAAAUAUCUGUGUUUGCUAACCCCGCAAUUAUCUAGAACGAAAAUGUUUCCAAUAUAAACAGUUUAUUGAACUGCAAAUAGGCCGGACAACGCGGCGUAUGUGCGAUGCGCCAUCUUGGCGUGAUUGUGUGUGGCACGGAGCUGACAUUUAACUUUUUCACGUAAAUGACUUGUUAAAUAUUCAUGGCCUAAUGGCCAUACUACCAAAGAAUCUACCGUCCACGUAUAUUAAUCAGACAUGAGUUGGGCCUGCCGUGUGCUCUUGGUAAAUAUUUCAGAAGGCGCCAAUGGAGAAGAAUUAACACGAACCCCUUGGGGAGCGAAGUCUUAAGUGCUUAGUGCUAAGAAAAGUUCAAUCAACUUUUAGUGGUUUUGCCCCCAGUCAUUGCUAAAUAAUCUAUUGGACAAUAUAUAUUAAUACCACAGAAA